UCGCCAUUCACAAAUCAGAUUCAGAGCUGCUAACUAUAUCGUAGACGCAGAUACGACACCCCCAUACGACUCGGAUGACGUGGCACGUACAGUCAGCGAUGCCACGUCAGCAUAUUAGAAAAACAUUAAAAAAAAAAAAAAAAAAAAACCUGAGAAGAAGAGGGGGUAAAACGAAAUCUGAAAUCAUUUUCAUUUCUUCUCCCCUGUUUUCGAGCCCUAGCCUCAUUUCUCUCCACCGUCAAGAGUUACCACCGGCGACGCAAAACCCAGGAUUGAUAAGAAAGGCUACACCAUAUUGCAUCAUGUCACCGACACGGGGAACUAUGAUGGAGGAACCAAACCUGGUCCUGCACUCCAAUUUCAAGAGGAGUUGAAAUGGUUUGAGAUUGUUUCUGCAAUGGAACUAACAAGUCAUGCCAGUUCUGAAUGUGCACUGUGAAAGGCCAUGUUAACAAGCCAUGAAUACCCAUCAUCAACAAGAGGAAUAGUGAUUUGAGCAUGGACAAGAGCAUGCUAGGAGAUCUGGAUAAUCUUCCAGAGGAAGCCAGCUCCGCCCAGGUCCAACGCCAUCCACCCACAACCGCCGAAGACCACCAACGCUGUCCACUUGUACGAGAGAAAGAUGGAUAAGACUUGGAUGACAAAGUCUAGGGGUACAAGAGAAUACAGAGAUGGGUGUAGAUCGUUUGUUGACUUCGCAGUUAGUAACUGUAGGAUCCCUAAUGGAAAUAUCCACCGCCCUUGUAAGUCGUGUCGAAAUAACCAGCGCCACCCUCCCGGUGUCGUACUUGCCCACUUGACAGGGGGUAAGGGAAUAAUGACUACAUACACUACAUGGUUUUGGCACGGUGAGAAGCAUGUACGAGGUCCUGUUGCAGGUUCUUACUCAAAUCGCUCGGCCGCAAAUGUUGCUUGUGGAAGCACAGAACAGGGUGGCAACAUGCACGCAAAUUGUGAUUGUUGUGAUUGUUGAUUAUCGAUAAAAAUGCAAAUUGUUGUGAUUGUGUUGAUCAUGGAUUGAUGGAAAUGUAAUAGAUUAGGGUUUAGGAUGGAUUGAUCUUAAACCGUAAAAUAAAAGCAUUAAUCCGGAUUGCAGAA